ACAAAAACUCAGUGAUUUUGGCUAAAUUACAGAAAUUUUUUUUUUUAUAAAUAUUUAUUUUUUUACUUUCUCUUUCUAAUUUUUAAAAAAUCUAUAUUUUACCUUCUUAAUAUUUCAAAAUUUUAUAUUUUAACAUCUCUUCGUUAGAGUUUCAUCACUAUUCUAUUUAUUUCUUAUAAUUUAUAUUAAAAAUAAAUUUUAAAACGACAGAAAUACAUUUUAAAAAAACUUAUAAAAAAAUAAGGGUAAUUUGGUCAUUUUGCCCUCUCUAUUAAUGUCAUAUCCUCCGAAAAAUAUUUUUAAAAUUCUAAGGGGACAAAAUAUAGAUUUUUAAAAAUUAGGGAUGAAAAGUAAAAAAAAAAAAGGUCUUUACAGAAUUUUUUUUAUAAUUU
rnacentral:lncRNA from 1 species